rnacentral:rRNA from 1 species
UACGUAGGGUGCAAGCGUGUCCGGAAUUAUUGGGCGUAAGGAGCUCGUAGGCGGUCUGUCACGUCGGCUGUGAAAACCCGAGGCUCAACCCCGGGCCUGCAGUCGAUACGGGCAGACUAGAGUGCGGUAGGGGAGACUGGAAUUCCUGGUGUAGCGGUGAAAUGCGCAGAUAUCAGGAGGAACACCGGUGGCGAAGGCGGAUCUCUGGGCCGAUACUGACGCCGAGGAGCGAAAGCGUGGGGAGCGAACAGG